rnacentral:tRNA from 1 species
AAUAGGUUUGGGAAUUUAGUUCAUCUGGCUUAUAACCCGAAGGUCGAAGGUUCGAAUCCUUCCCCUGUUACCA